UUGAAAGCCGCAGUAAAGGCAGUUGGUGUCUUAUUAAAGAAAACUAGAGAAUUAAAGACUUUGGGACCAUAAAUGGAGAAGCUUACCGAAGAUAGGGCCUUUCAAGUGAAGGAGAGUAAGGAAAGUGGUUGGGGUAUUCCAAGAUGUGAAGAAUCCUGUCUUUUGUGUGGAAUUCAAGAUAUUGAUCAACUUUUCCCACAAGAAGAAGCAUUUGCCUCCAGGGUACCAUGGACGUGUGGCAAUAUAAAUCCAAAGGACAACUGAGGCCUAGUUAAAAGCCACUUUCCUGCACAUUCAGUCUUAGACUACAUUGUUUGCUAACAACAGGACUCAAACUGAUUUACAUAC